GCAGUGGUAGUUCAGUGGUAGAAUUCUUGCUUUCUACACCAGAGACCUGGGUUUGCCCCCGGCCAAAGCG
rnacentral:tRNA from 1 species